UUUUUAGCUCGACUAUUCAUAGAAUAGUGAGCUAUUGCACUCGCCCAUGCGUCGGCGUCCGCGUCCGCGUCCCGAUUUUGGUUAAGGUUUUGUAUGUAAGCUGGUAUCUCAGUAACCACUUGUGGGAAUGGAUUGAAACUUCACACACUUAUUCACUUGACAAACUGACUACAUUGCACAGGUUCCAUAACUCUAUUUUGCUUUUUUACAAAAUUAUGCCCCUUUUUCGACUUAGAAAUUUUUGGUUAAGGUUUUGUAUGUAAGCUGGUAUCUCAGUACUUACUAAUGGGAAUGGAUUGAAACUUCACAUACUUGUUCACUAUCAUGAUCUGACAUGCACUAAGCAAGUCCCAUAACUCUACUCUCUUUUUUUCAAAUUAUGCCCCUUUUUCGACUUAGCAGUUUUUGGUUAAAUUUUUGUAUGUAAUCUGAUAUCUCAGUAUCCACUAAUUGGAAUGGAUUGAAACUUCACACACUUGUUCACUGUCAUGAUCUAACAUGCACUGUGAAGGUCCAUAACUCUACUUGGCAUUUUUACAAAAUUAUGCCCCUUUCACUUAGCAGUUUUUUGUUAAGUUUUGUAUGUAAGCUGGUAUCUCAGUAUCCACAAAUUGGAAAGGAUUGAAACUUCACACACUUGUUCACUGUCAUGAUAUGACAUGCAGUACAGAGGUUCAAUACCUCUACUUUGCAUUUUACAAAAUUAUGCCCCUUUUUCAACUUUUGUAUUCAUUCAAUUGACAAGGCUGUUGAAUAGUCGAGCGUUGCUGUCCUGCGACAGCUCUUGUUUAAUAUAUUUUUAUAGAAACAAACAGUGUUAAACUGAGGGUGUACCAGUUACAACUUAGUGGAAUCAUUCAUAUCUUCCAUAAUUUAUAUAUUUGCAUUUUCCAGAGGUAUAAAAUUGUUUUUAGUUAUGUAUAAUGUUUCUGUUACUAUUAGCAAUAUUGAUCUGCACACCUGCUCUCUGUUAAUUGGCUGUAAUCCCAAACCCAUGGGAUGCUUUAAUUGUAAGAUGUCUUAAUUGCUCUGCAAUUGGUGUAUAAUUGUGUCAUCCAGAAAUUACUUGAGAUCUUCUGCAGUAAUUAUCUAACAUCCUAUAUUUUCCUCAGGGAUCCAGCCCUGUCUGUUCAGAUAUUACGUCAGUAUUACUGUUAGUACUGUACAGAACGCUAUAUAUUUUGUACUUUAAGAUACGGAGUCUUUAUGAGAUUGGUGGUAUAGAGUGUUACUCAUGACGCUGUGUGUGUGUGUGUCUGUCCAUCUAUAUGUUUUUGCUUGUGUUUGUAAAAUUGUGAUUGAUCAAGAAUAAUCAAUCGUCUUGUAUGAUUGGAUUUCAGAAUUACUUCAGUGGCACAAAUGACCAAAAUUAAAACUUAGACCCCUGGCUCAAAGGUCAAGGUCACACUUAAAGGUCAAAGAUUUAAAGUCAAUAAAUGCAUAGGAAACAGAUGUAACUUUGCACAAACUGUCACCAUAUCUAAAUGAUAAUUGUCAUGUGGAAGUUCCAGAUCCCUAGCUGGAAGGCAAGGUCAUACAUACCGCUCAAGAUUUAAGGUUUUAUUUUUUGCAUGAUCUGUAAUUUUUUAUGCAUAGAUGGAUAUUUAUACAUGGCACAAACAUUUCCAUAGCUCAAUUAUGUCUUGUUUACAAGACCUAGACCACUAGUUCAAAGAUUAGUUACACAGAAGUCAAAGAUUUUCCAUGAAUUUUCCAUGUUCUAUGAAAUGAAAUUGUAUUGAAAUUAACUAAGUAUUGAUUUAUUAGUAAUUUAAAACUAUUUGCAGUUGCAGAUUACCAGACAUGCAGUUUUAAUCCCUAAAUCUUACUUUUUUACUUACUGUAUAUAUAAGUAUAUAUAUAUAUUAUAUAUCUGGUAGACAGAUUGGAUUAUCAGCAUAGAAUGUAUACAUCAGGCAUGGGAUUUUCAGUACUGGCCCUGACUUCAGACUUUUGAUAGCCAAAAUUUACUUAUAUAACUACUGAAACAGAGAUUUCAGGCUUUUACUAUGUAGACUUGUUAGGCUGUUGGUUGUUGACUGAAUCCCAGGCCUUAUAACGAAGAAAAGGAACUGUGUGUCAGUCAGUGCAGUGUAUCAUAUGAUGUGGUGAAUGCCUCACAAGUGCAAACAAAUCACAUGAACAGUAAAUUGUAAAAAAAAAAUGUGCAAGGAAGACCGAAAUAUUUGUCUUACAUCUUUUAAGUUUGUAAUAUCAAUGUGGUAAAAGGAUGAGUUGACAUACAUGUAUAGUUUAUCUCUGUGACAAAUCAAUGAGGUACAGGAAGUUCUUUUCAUGUAUAGUGAGUUGUCCACUUGAGUUGUCUUUUUGAGCGUCUUAAUCCAUGUUAAUUUAUAAGCAUGAUAAAGGUUUCUUUUAUGAUAGAUCUAUCACAGAUAUGUAAAAGUGCACAUGGUUAGAAAUUGUGACUAAUUGUUGGAGAACACUUGAUACUGGACAGACUUCAUUGUAUUUGUGCACAGGUUUAGUUCGAAUAGCUAAAGAGUGGACCUUAGACUGUUGGUUUGAAAGAGGGAAAACUUUUAAAGUUCUUUCAAGAAAAAAAAAUAACAUAGCAUCAAUCUAUUGCUGAUACAAAAAAAUAACAUAGCAUCAAUCUAUUGCUGUUAGAAAAAAAUAACAUAACAUCAAACCAGUGCAGUUAGAAAAAAAUAACAUAGCAUCAAUCUGUUGCUGUUAGAAAAAAAUAACCUAGCAUCAAACUAUUGCUGAUAGAAAAAAAAAACAACAUAGUAUCAAUCUAUUGCUGUUAGAAAAAAAAUAACAUAGCAUCAGUCUAUUGCUGUUAGAAAAAAAAUAACAUAGAAACUAUUGCUGAUAGAAAAAAAUAACAUAGCAUCAAUCUAUUGCUGUUAGAAAAAAAUAGCAUCAAACUAUUGCUGUUAGAAGAAAAUAACAUAGCAUAAAUCUAUUGCUGAUAGAAAAAAAUAACAUAGCAUCAAUCUAUUGCUGUUAGAAAAAAAAACAUAGCAUCAAUCUAUUGCUGUUAGAAAAAAAAAAUAACAUAGCAUCAAUAUACUGCUGUUAGGAAAAAAAAUAACAUAGCAUCAAUC